rnacentral:lncRNA from 1 species
GGCUACUGGCUGAUCUUUGGAACUAGAAACAUCAUUUUGCUCCUUAAAUGAUUAAAAAAGGCACACAUGGGGCUUCUUUGUGUUAGUUCUUUUGUAUCUCCAUAUCCUGUCCCUGCAUGGAUUAUUUUGGUGCAUGCUGCAGACUUGUUUUUGGAACUUGAAUCCUGAGCAAGUGAGAAGACUUACUGGAUGCUGUUCAAGGCUCUGCAUGACAAACCUUGCACAAAUACAAGAGGUCCCAUUUGCCAACGCUGCUCCCAAGAUCUCCACCCACUACAAGAGAAGUACCAGGUCAAGGGUAUUGAUAGUGACUGAGGAACAGAACGUUACAAAUCCCACCUGGAAUUUUCUGAACCUACCUUGAAAGAAGGUAUGAAAAUAAAAGCUGGUGGAUCUUAAAAGAGCUAAAUCAGCUUCUAAAGUCCCUUCUUUGUGAACAGCAGCUCUUCCAUGAAGUCCUUCCUGACACCUAUCACUCCCUAACCCCCACGGAGCACUCUUUCCUCAGAGCAUC